UAAAAAACGGGCCAAAAACCGUAAUUUGCCUGGAAUUGCAAACUUAUGGACCGCUAAAAUUUUAAACGCAAAUGGCCUACCAGGGUAACCGGUAAGAAGGUCCAAUUAAGGGCCUUUGAACAAAAUCCGGGCAUCCGGUGGUAAUUGCUUUUCCG
rnacentral:rRNA from 1 species